AACCCAUGAUGAGGACACUUGCGAAGUAACUCCUUGAAUCACUCCCAAGCCUUAUACAAAGACUCGUCAUCCAAUUGUUGGAAAGUUAUGAUCUCGUUCAUUAACUU
rfam:Gossypium raimondii chromosome 4, whole genome shotgun sequence.